AGUUUUUCUUGUAUAGUGAAGGUGUUCAGGCCUAUAAAAGUUUUUAGAAAAUAUUUUAGUAAUGGUUAUCAACUCCCGUCGCUUUGGACGAUAUUUUCCUACACCCCAUCGUUGUACACCCCAUAGGUACACCCGGUACACCCCUUCCAUGACGUAACGCCGGCUUCUCGCGCUUUUUCGACCCACCUGAUCGUCGGUACGCCACUUUGUGUGACGUCAGCACAGCUGCUCCUUUCUCCCGUGGUCGGAGCCGAACAACUGGUCGGGCGGUCCGACGGCCACUGCUGCGGUUUGCCGCUGGAUCGGCGAUCGUUGCGCACGCGAGGGGUAGCAUCUGCCAGCAGUGCACGGUGCCAUCGGGCCCACCUGACCCGUGACCAGAAAAUGCCGGCCACCAGCCGCGCCCUCGCUGCCACGGACACCUAGGACCGGGACAAGGGCGCAUGGCGACGGCGGCCGAAAGCGGGUCCCGCCUGAGCGGCCACACGCUGGACAAAGCCACCAAGGCCAAGGUGCACCUGGAGAACUACUACUCGAACCUGGUGAGCCAGCACUUGGAGCGCAAGGGGCGCCACGACCGCCUCGAGGAAACCAUGCGCGAGGAGGGACUCUCCGAGGAACAGAAGCGGGAGAAGCGGCAGCAGCACUCGCUAAAGGAGACGGAGUUCCUGCGCCUGAAGCGCUCCCGGCUCGGCGUGGAGGACUUCGAGCCACUGAAGGUGAUUGGCCGGGGCGCCUUCGGGGAGGUGCGCCUGGUCCAAAAGCGUGACACGGGCCACGUGUACGCCAUGAAGAUCCUCCGCAAGGCAGACAUGCUCGAAAAGGAGCAGGUGGCCCACGUGCGGGCCGAGCGGGAUGUUCUAGUGGAGGCAGACCACCAGUGGGUGGUCAAGAUGUACUACAGCUUCCAGGAUGCCAUCAAUCUGUACCUCAUCAUGGAGUUUCUUCCCGGCGGCGACAUGAUGACCCUGCUGAUGAAGAAGGACACCCUGUCAGAAGAGUGCACCCAGUUCUACAUUGCCGAGACGGCCCUGGCCAUCGACUCGAUCCACAAGCUGGGCUUCAUCCACCGGGACAUCAAGCCGGACAACCUGCUGCUGGAUGCUCGGGGACACAUCAAGCUCUCGGACUUUGGCCUGUGCACGGGCCUAAAGAAGUCGCACCGGACGGAGUUCUACCGCGACCUGUCCCAGGCCAAGCCCUCGGACUUCACGUCGAAUCCAAUGGACUCUAAGCGUCGGGCAGAGAGCUGGAAGAAGAACCGGAGACAGCUGGCCUACUCGACCGUGGGCACGCCGGACUACAUUGCACCCGAGGUGUUCCUGCAGACGGGCUACAGCAGCUCGUGUGACUGGUGGUCCCUGGGUGUCAUCAUGUACGAGAUGCUCAUUGGCUACCCUCCCUUCUGCUCGGAGACUCCUCAGGAGACGUAUCGCAAGGUGAUGGGCUGGCGGGAGACCCUGGUGUUCCCCGCUGAGGUGCCCAUCUCGGAGGAAGCACGCUGCCUCGUCCAGGGGUUCUGCUCCGAGGCCGACGCCCGCGUCGGGGCCCAGGGGGGUUUGCCGCAGAUCCGGGCGCAGCCCUUCUUCCGCGGUGUGGACUGGGACCACAUCCGCGAGCGGCCGGCCGCCAUCCCCAUGGAGGUGAAGAGCAUCGACGACACGUCCAACUUCGACGACUUUCCCGACGUGGACCUCAAGAUCCCUUGUGCCCCUCCCGCCACACCGAGCAAGGAGGAGGCGGCCGGAUACAAGGACUGGGUCUUCAUCAACUACACCUUCAAGCGCUUCGAGGGCCUCACCCAGCGAGGGGUCAAGCCACCCAAAAAGUGCUGACGACCCCCGCGGCCACCACCGCACGCGAGGGGACACCCUAUUUAUGUUACCGUUUUUACCGUUCCUCCGCAGCUUUUGGAGCGUGUCCCCAGCUGGCCGCGAGUCUGCGAAGAUCGAAGGGCGCUGGUGACCCUCGAAACGCUUGGGCCUGGUGCAGCAUCUUCUUUUUUUUUUUUUUUGCUCGCGAAAUGGAGCGAGUUCUUGCACCUUGUGAGUGAGGACUGCCACGUAGCGGCGCAGGGAGUGGAUUAGUAUUUUAGAAGUGCAAUCAGUUUGAAUAAAGUUUUCCAGAAAGGAA
rnacentral:misc_RNA from 1 species